UAUGGCUCCAUAAUUAGGAAAGAAAUGACAUUAUAGGUGUGGCAUGUUUGCGUCAAUCCAAGCCCAAAUUGCCUUCCAUGACACAGGUAUAAUCAGUGUUAACAGUCCUAUAAGUCUUUGGAUGUACGUUUGGACAUGACGGGCUGGAUGUGGUUAGGAACAUUGUUUUUAGUUCUGUUGUUUGUGCAAAGCCACAACCUGUUAUUUUAUGGACAAACGCCCUUGCUGUUGUUAAUAUGUUAGCAGCUCUUACUGAAUGAACAUGAAUUGAAAAGUUUAAAUGAUAAAGUAACCCGGGCUGAUCUCCAUGUGAAAUCUUUUGGAGAACGUGCCGAUCUGUUAUUGUUUCCACGUGGACACUAAAAGUGGCAGUCUGCAAAAACAAAAGACACACACAUGUGUUUAAACCAGCUCUAACGAUAAUAGUGGAAUUUGUGAACACACGUGUACAUUUUUUACAUCACUAUUGCACACAUUUCUUCCUCAUUAUUUACAAAGUUUUUAUGAAGCAUUUGUAGUGAUUCUAUCAAUGAUGACGGGCCUAAAGGGGUUGACACGACUAGUGCCUGAUUAAAAAUAUGUUCAGUACCGUAAGUAAAGAAAAAGGACUAGGGAAUGUUUGGCAGCCGAACAGCUGAUGUACAAAAUUUAUGCAGAACAUACGGUGGAACACAAGUGCAUAGGCAGCUGCGUCAAGGCUCGCCGGCUGUGAUGGUAUUUCCAGACAGGGGGGAAACAAAAACAAACGAAAAAAUAUUGCUAGUUGAGCUUAGCGGUUCCGGUUCUCUCUCAAUUACCAUAGCUGCAUAUUCAGAAAAUGAUGAUAACUUAAAUCAAUUAAGGUGACAGCGUUAUUUUAUCCAAUACACUUUUUUUGCUGCAAAUCAAUCUGCCUCCUCCUCAAGCUAAAAACAUGAUUAUAUAUAGAUAUAUUUUAAAAAAAGAAACAUUGAUCAAUCUCAUAUUUUUUCCAUAUUGUACACCAGCAAAUACACUUCUCAUCAGAUUGCACCACUUUUCUUGCUCAUCAAAACAAACUCAGAGUUCCAUUGCUUAAAUAUGACCAUGUGCUCUGCAUCUGGACCAAACUAUUGAGCAAAUGCAAGCAUUGAAGCCCACAGCAAUGUCUUAGCACUUCAGAUUUAAUGUCACUGUCAGACUGUAUCCGCUAGAAAUCUUGACUGGUAUCAGUGUUGUCACGACUCGUCCCCCGUUGUGUUAUCAUAUGUAGGUUGUCAUGGUUUCUGUGUCCUCGCCCCUCCCUUCCUGUGUCUACUCACAAUCAAUGUACUAAUCACAGUCACUUGCCUCUCGUUACCUGUCUGGUAUUUAAGUCCUGUCUGCGUGUCACUCCCUCUUUUCGCUUCCUGUCGUUGUCAAGUUUGUUUCGGUUAGUCGGUCGGUCAGUUCAGUGAUGUCAGAUUGCCGGUUCUGUUAGUUUGUUCCCCUUAAUCCUCUCUUCCAACUACCUUUUCCCUCAAUAGACCCUGGUCCAAGCUGCAUCUGGUCGCCCUGCUCCAUUCCGAUCCGUGCCAAGUGUCCUUUUGAAGAAUCAAGGCUGACGCUGAGCUGCUUCUUCUUUACGCCAGAGGGAAGGAUUUCCUCUCUGCCUUUUUCAAAGGGGCAAAACCAUCUGGUUGCAGGCUGACAAACUGGGCCAAUAGAUAGAGAUGGCAAGCGGCGUGCACUCAAGUGGGGGUUGGAACUGCAGCCUUCAAGGCCCUGGUUAAGGCAGGACCUGUAGGCUGUCAUCUGACUACCCCAAAAAACCAAGAGGCACUCCUAGCCUAGAUCACAGAACACAACCGCAGGGCUCAAACUGCCGGCAAGCUAUGUAGGCCACAAGGAGAAAUGUUGGCCUUGUGAAGUGAAGAAUGUAUUUAGGGGUUUGCAUAGAAUGUACAAACUGAAAAUUGUCUCUUUUAGUAGAUCUGAACUAUGUGAACUGGAUUGUUUCAUAGCAUACUACAGAUGGCUUACAGUAAACUGAACAAAACCAAAACUGUUUUCUAAUUUUGUAA